AUAAAUAGUAAAAUUUAUGUAUAUAGAAAAGUUAAAACGACCUGCAGUUUUGGAAUCAAGGGAGCAGUGCUUAGUAGCCCUCAUGUACACAAAACCAAGAAGCAGCUAGUAAUCAACUUCAUUUAUGAUUCACCAUCAAGUGACUAGAUCACUCCAUGUGAACUGUAUCCAAUGGCUGCAUUUUUCCUCCAAUCUCUACACCCACCCACCGUGAUGCAUAUAACGUCCAAAUUCUAGUCUCCCAUCAGCACCUCACGGGUACCAGCACCACCGCCCCCUCCUCCGCGCGCCGUCUCUCUCCUCCAUCUACUAUGUAUGGUGGUGCACCAACGGAC
rnacentral:lncRNA from 1 species